rnacentral:rRNA from 1 species
CCUACGGGUGGCAGCAGUGAGGAAUAUUGGUCAAUGGGCGCGAGCCUGAACCAGCCAAGUCGCGUGAGGGAAGACGGUCCUAUGGAUUGUAAACCUCUUUUGUCGGGGAGCAAAAGACGCCACGCGUGGCGUUCCGAGAGUACCCGAAGAAAAAGCAUCGGCUAACUCCGUGCCAGCAGCCGCGGUAAUACGGAGGAUGCGAGCGUUUGUCGGAUUUAUUGGGUUUAAAGGGUGCGCAGGCGGAAGGUUAAGUCAGCGGUAAAAUUGAGAGGCUCAACCUCUUCGAGCCGUUGAAACUGGGGUUCUUGAGUGAAUGAGAAGUAUGCGGAAUGCGUGGUGUAGCGGUGAAAUGCAUAGAUAUCACGCAGAACUCCGAUUGCGAAGGCAGCAUACCGGCGCUCAACUGACGCUGAUGCACGAAAGUGUGGGUAUCGAACAGGAUUAGAUACCCCAGUAGUC